rnacentral:rRNA from 1 species
UACGUAGGCAGCGAGCGUUGUUCGGAGUUACUGGGCGUAAAGAGUGCGUAGGCGGUUUUCUAAGUUUGGUGUGAAAUCUCCCGGCUUAACUGGGAGGGUGCGCCGAAAACUGGAAGGCUUGAGUAUGGGAGAGGUAAGCGGAAUUCCUGGUGUAGCGGUGAAAUGCGUAGAUAUCGAGAGGAACACCUGCGGCGAAGGCGGGUUGCUGGGCCGACACUGACGCUGAUGCGCGAAAGCCAGGGGAGCGAACGGG